ensembl:snRNA U2 U2 spliceosomal RNA
GUCAUUAAAUUUUUUUCAAAUAAAAAAUCUGUUCUUAUCAGUUUAACUCGGUACGCCCCUAACUGGGGUCCAUAUUUAAAUUGAUUUUUGGAACUGGGAGAUGGAAAAGGGGGCUUGCUGCCUCCUCCACCUCGACCUGGUAUUGCAGCACCUCCGGGAACUGCACCCCCU